rnacentral:rRNA from 1 species
UACAGAGGUCCCAAGCGUUGUUCGGAUUCACUGGGCGUAAAGGGUGCGUAGGUGGCGGGGUAAGUCGGAUGUGAAAUCUCCGAGCUCAACUCGGAAAUGGCAUUGGAAACUACCUUGCUUGAGGGUUGGAGGGGGGACUGGAAUACUUGGUGUAGCAGUGAAAUGCGUAGAUAUCGGGAGGAAUACCGAUGGCGAAGGCAGGUCUCUGGGCUGACACUGACGCUCAUGCACGAAAGCGUGGGGAGCAAACAGG